rnacentral:rRNA from 1 species
AACCUCCGCAAUGUGAGAAAUCGCGACGGGGGGAUCCCAAGUGCCAUUCUUAACGGGAUGGCUUUUCUUAAGUGUAAAAAGCUUUUGGAAUAAGAGCUGGGCAAGACCGGUGCCAGCCGCCGCGGUAACACCGGCAGCUCUAGUGGUAGCUGUUUUUAUUGGGCCUAAAGCGUUCGUAGCCGGUUUGAUAAGUCACUGGUGAAAUCCUGUAGCUUAACUGUGGGAAUUGCUGGUGAUACUGUUGAACUUGAGGUCGGGAGAGGUUAGCGGUACUCCCAGGGUAGAGGUGAAAUUCUGUAAUCCUGGGAGGACCACCUGUGGCGAAGGCGGCUAACUGGAACGAACCUGACGGUGAGGGACGAAAGCUAGGGGCGCGAACCGGAUUAGAUACCCGGGUAGUCCUAGCCGUAAACGAUGCGGACUUGGUGUUGGGAUGGCUUUGAGCCGCUCCGGUGCCGAAGGGAAGCCGUUAAGUCCGCCGCCUGGGAAGUACGGUCGCAAGACUGAAACUUAAAGGAAUU